rnacentral:rRNA from 1 species
CCUACGGGAGGCAGCAGUAAGGAAUAUUGGUCAAUGGGCGCAAGCCUGAACCAGCCAUGCCGCGUGCAGGAAGACGGCCCUAUGGGUUGUAAACUGCUUUUGAACAAGAGAAAACCUCGGUACGUGUACCGAGCUGAUAGUAUUGUUAGAAUAAGCAUCGGCUAACUUCGUGCCAGCAGCCGCGGUAAGACGAAGGAUGCAAGCGUUAUCCGGAUUCAUUGGGUUUAAAGGGUGCGUAGGCGGACCGAUAAGUCAGUGGUGAAAUCUCUCAGCUUAACUGAGAAACUGCCAUUGAUACUGUCAGUCUAGAGUAUAGAUGAUGUGGGCGGAAUAUGACAUGUAGUGGUGAAAUACUUAGAUAUGUCAUAGAACACCGAUUGCGAAGGCAGCUCACAAAACUAUAACUGACGCUGAGGCACGAAAGUUGCGGGGGAUCAAACAGGAUUAGAUACCCUGGUAGUCCGCACCGUAAACGAUGAUUACCUCGUUGUUGGCAAAUAUAGACGUCACGCGACGACGACGAACGACGAGAAGUAAGUACCGACCGUACGGGUAGGUACGGUACCGGCCGACCGGUACGGUAACGUAACGAAACGGAAAGUAGUUACGGACGUUGAGGACGACGGACCGACGGACGGACCGACCGACGGGAGGGUUAGGGAGG